AUUGAACGCUGGCGGCAUGCUUUACACAUGCAAGUCGAACGGUAACAGGCCGCAAGGUGCUGACGAGUGGCGAACGGGUGAGUAAUGCAUCGGAACGUGCCCAGUCGUGGGGGAUAACGCAGCGAAAGCUGCGCUAAUACCGCAUACGAUCUAUGGAUGAAAGCGGGGGACCGAAAGGCCUCGCGCGAUUGGAGCGGCCGAUGUCAGAUUAGGUAGUUGGUGGGGUAAAGGCUCACCAAGCCAACGAUCUGUAGCUGGUCUGAGAGGACGACCAGCCACACUGGGACUGAGACACGGCCCAGACUCCUACGGGAGGCAGCAGUGGGGAAUUUUGGACAAUGGGCGCAAGCCUGAUCCAGCAAUGCCGCGUGCAGGAAGAAGGCCUUCGGGUUGUAAACUGCUUUUGUACGGAACGAAACGGUCUGGGUUAAUACCUCGGGCUAAUGACGGUACCGUAAGAAUAAGCACCGGCUAACUACGUGCCAGCCGCCGCCGUAAUAC
rnacentral:rRNA from 1 species